rnacentral:ncRNA from 1 species
UCGUUAUCACGAAAGGCGGAGGGAAAGACCCAAUGAAACCUUAGCAACCCUUUAUCUUUAAAGAAGGUGCUACAUUCUACUUUGAUAUUGAAUUUAUUUCGGUAAUUCAAGGAUAGAUAACAC